CAAGUCAGGCACGUGGACCGGCACCUCAGCGGCCAAGUCAGGCACGUGGACCGGCACCUCAGCGGCCAAGUCAGGCACGUGGACCGGCACCUCAGCGGCCAAGUCAGGCACAUAGACUGGCACCUCAGCGGCCAGGCCAGUCAUGUAGACAGGUCCCUCGGGGGCUAAGCCGGUCACGUGGACAGGUACCUCUGGAGCUAGGUCGCUCACGUGGACGGGGGGCUCUGUGGCCAAGUCUGGGACAUGAACAGAGGUCUCAGAGUUAACAUCGGUUACAGAAACUGAGAUUUCAUCAGCCAGACUGGACACAGGAACUUGGGCUUCGGUUAGUA